AGAUUGAACGCUGGCGGCAUGCCUUACACAUGCAAGUCGAACGGCAGCGCGGGGCAACCUGGCGGCGAGUGGCGAACGGGUGAGUAAUAUAUCGGAACGUACCCUGGAGUGGGGGAUAACGUAGCGAAAGUUACGCUAAUACCGCAUACGAUCUAAGGAUGAAAGUGGGGGAUUCGCAAGAACCUCAUGCUCCUGGAGCGGCCGAUAUCUGAUUAGCUAGUUGGUGGGUAAAGCCUACCAAGGCAUCGAUCAGUAGCUGGUCUGAGAGGACACCAGCCACACUGGAACUGAGACACGGUCCAGACUCCUACGGGAGGCAGCGAGGUGGGGUAAUUUUGGACGAA
rnacentral:rRNA from 1 species